rnacentral:misc_RNA from 1 species
GUGAUUUUUUCAGCCGCCGCCCAGGCUUCUCUGUUUACACGCACGUCUGCUCUCUCUUCUUCCUCCCUUGCCGCGCUCUCUCUCCAGUGCCCAUCUCUCUCUCGCAGAGCUCCCUGGCGAGCGCCCCUGCAUCCUCUCUCGCCGGUGACAGCUCCUGCUCGUGCCCAAUUUUUGGUGGCGAGUCCCUCCCAUCCCUCUCGCCGCGCGCCCAAGCUCCCUCUGCCCGUCUCCCUGCGCGCGCGCCCGGUGUUUCUCCCUGGCGCUCGUCCAAGUCACCGCCAUCGAAGCUCCCAGCGCUCGCCCAGUUGUGGUCUCCAGCGCCGGCCAGAGCUCCCCUGCUCCCAUGGCUGCUUGCCCAGCCGCUCCUCUCUCCUCCCUCCACUCCCACCCCUCUACUCGCGACGCAUAGUCGGCCUGCUCCCAUGGCGCGACUGCUCCCAUGCCGCGCCCUAGCCCCUGCUCCUCGUUCUGCUCUGCGCUACGUGGAGCUUCUUCCUGCGCGCGCCGGGCCGCCGGCCGCCAGGUCGUCUUCAACCUCCAGCCGUGGAGCUCCUGCGCAUUGCCGGUUACCUUCCCUCGAGUUCUCCCUGCCAUGGCGUGCUCUGCUCCCUGCUCAGCGUCCCUCUCUGCUCGCCGGCGAUGCCCCUGCUCGAGCUCGCCGCACCCCGGGUUGCCUGCUCCAGCCGCGGUCCCCCAGCUCCCUUCUCUGCUCCCAUGGCGCGCCCAUCUCCCUCUCAUCUCCUCUGUUCUGUGCACGCGCGUUCUCUCUACGCCUUGCCGAUGUCCUGCGCGGCUCCCUGCUGUGCUCGCCCUUGGUGCUGGCCGCGUGCUCCUCGUCCGGCUCGGCCGCGACCUCGCCGGCGUUCCUCCCUCUCUGCUCGCUACGCGCGCGAAAUUUCCCUGCUCGCUAGCGCUUUGUCCUGCUCCGCUGCGCCGUGAUGUUUCCCUGCGCGUCCGGCAAGUCGCGCCCUGGCCACGUCGAGUUCUCUGCUCUAGCUCGCUGAGCUUUCCCUUUGUCUGGCGUUUCUCCCAGCCACCGCGCGUGUGAUUUACUGUUUAGUUGUCGUCACGCCCAGCCAGGAUUCCAGCGUCCUUUCGUGCGCGGGUUUUCUCUCUUCGCGUUGAUGUGCAAACGCCUUCGUGCUCGCAUCCUUUGGGCCCGUUUCGCCUUCGCGCGACACCGGCUGUGAGUUGAAUUAAAUUUCACCGAGUUACUCGCAUUAAGUCCGAUCGGUGUCGAGAGUUUGUCACAUGGUGUGUGGCGUGAAGAUAUAGAAGGAAAUGUCAUGGCCGGUUAAGGAGAAAUUUGUUGAAUGUUGGAUGGUGGUGUGCGUGAAGUUCGUAUAGUACCUAUCAAGAACUCGACAAAUUGCCUAGAUCAGAAAAUCAUUACCGAUCUCGUGGAUUCGAGUCAGAUAUUAGAACGGUACGUGAAUUAACCACGUGAUGUGGAGAACCAGAACUGAGUCGACCACAAGAUAUCGCUACGCGUGAGCUUCUCCAGAAGAUGAAGUUGAUGAACUAAUCUGAAGAUGGACAGACGGAGCAAGUAUCGGAACAAAAGCUGAUCGCCAAGUGGAUGCCAUCUAACAAACACUAACAUAGUGUUUAUUCCAGGUGCUGAGUCACUUUGAUUGUGAUUGGUGCUAAGCGCCGAUGGGCACGGCCUUCUUAAAAGUCUAAGUACUUCUUCUAUACUUCUUAUUGAGGAUGGUCACUUAAGCUAGCAUAUAUUUCAAAACUACAAAUAAUUUAUAACGGUUCAAAGUUAUUCCUUUGAAUCACUUUUGUAUUCACUCUAAUCAUGUACAUCGUAAAACUUGAUGUAACUUGUAAAAUUUGGUAAUAAGAUUUCCGC